rnacentral:rRNA from 1 species
CCCCAGACUCCUACGGGAGGCAGCAGUGGGGGAUAUUGCACAAUGGGGGAAACCCUGAUGCAGCGACGCCGCGUGAGUGAAGAAGUACUUCGUUACGUAAAGCUCUAUCAGCAGGGAAGAAAAUGACGGUACCUGACUAAGAAGCCCCGGCUAACUACGUGCCAGCAGCCGCGGUAAUACGUAGGGGGCAAGCGUUAUCCGGAAUUACUGGGUGUAAAGGGGGCGCAGACGGCAGCGCAAGCCAGGAGUGAAAGCCCGGGGCCCAACCCCGGGACUGCUCUUGGAACUGCGCGGCUGGAGUGCAGGAGGGGCAGGCGGAAUUCCUGGUGUAGCGGUGAAAUGCGUAGAUAUCAGGAGGAACACCGGUGGCGAAGGCGGCCUGCUGGACUGCGACUGACGUUGAGGCCCGAAAGCGUGGGGAGCAAACAGGAUUAGAUACCCGCGUAU